AGAAUGUCCUUAGCCAGGGACCUGGAAAUGAGUGGUGGCCACAGUCUGUUAGGAGUCGCUUUUGCAGAGUGGAUACAUGUUUCUGCUGUUAAAGGCUAACAGCCUUUGCAGAAGUUCAGAUCCCUUGUUGGCCAGUAUUGACCUAGUCUUCUAAAACGACAGUAAAAGUCUACAAGUCUUUGGGAAGCAGCUCUAUCUAUCUAUGCUUUAAUACUUUCUGGACUGCACACCAGUGUGCUGUGCAGUCAUGCUGACACUGAGGUCUCAGGUGACUUCUGUGCCUUUGUGAUAAAGGGUGAGAUAAGCCAUCUCAGAGGGAAGGCUGGUGAAUCAUGACAGCAGUUUUGGGGACCGUUUGUGCUUAUCCUGGAGUUGUUUUAAGUGGGGUGGAGAUUGCUUGGGUCAUGAAAUAAAGAGCUAUUAUGAUCAUGU
rnacentral:lncRNA from 1 species